AUGGUAGGAUAGAGGCCUACCAUGGUGGUAACGGGUAACGGGGUGUUAGGGCACGACACCGGAGAGGGAGCCUGAGAAGCGGCUACCACAUCCAAGGAAGGCAGCAGGCGCGCAAAUUACCCAAUCCCGACACGGGGAGGUAGUGACAAUAAAUAACAAUACAGGGUUCUUUGAAUCUUGUAAUUGGAAUGAGUACAAUUUAAAUCUCUUAACGAGGAACAAUUGGAGGGCAAGUCUGGUGCCAGCAGCCGCGGUAAUUCCAGCUCCAAUAGCGUAUAUUAAAGUUGUUGCAGUUAAAAAGCUCGUAGUUGAAUUUCGGGAUCAAUACGUCGGUCGUGCUUUCGGGUACGUACUGGCGUCAUUGGUUUCUCCUUUCUGACGAACCAUGAUGUCAUUAAUUUGGUGUUAUGGGGAGUUAGGACUGUUACUUUGAAAAAAUUAGAGUGUUUAAAGCAGGCAUUAGCUUGAAUACAUUAGCAUGGAAUAAUGAAAUAGGACGUUCGAUCCUAUUUUGUUGGUUUCUAGGAUCAACGUAAUGAUUAAUAGGGAUAGUUGGGGGCAUUAGUAUUCAAUUGUCAGAGGUGAAAUUCUUGGAUUUAUUGAAGACUAACUACUGCGAAAGCAUUUGCCAAGGAUGUUCUCAUUAAUCAAGAACGAAAGUUAGGGGAUCGAAGACGAUCAGAUACCGUCGUAGUCUUAACCAUAAACUAUGCCGACUAGGGAUCGGAUGAUGUUAAUUUUUUAAUGACUCAUUCGGCGCCUUACGGGAAACCAAAGUGUUUGGG
rnacentral:rRNA from 1 species